UUGUGGGAUCAGAUAAUCAAUAAUAUUCAGGAUGCCGAACAAGAACAACAAUUGGAAAGAGAAACCUUCAUUAGAAAAAAUCCAUUCUUGCUGUCUGACCAAAAAUUUGUGAAGUUGUUCAGGUUAACGAAACCAUUGAUGCGAGAUGUAAUAGAGACAUUAACUCCUCAUUUACAACAGCCUACUCGUAGGUCUGCUUUAAGUGUAGAAACAAAGGUACUAGCAACAGUACGAUUUCUGGCUACGGGCAGUUAUCAGGAACUAACAGGGUCAAGUGAAUAUGUUGGUAUCAGUCAAGCCAGCAUGAGUAGGUGCAUUUCUGAAGUUUGCGAAGCCCUAAAUGCACCAGAGGUAUUUAAUGCAUGGGUACAUUUUCCUCGAAAUCUGGCAGACUUUGAAAGUUUAAGGCGCAGGUUUUAUGACAAAUAUCAUUUCCCAGGUGUAAUCGGCUGCAUCGAUUGCACCCACAUUGCAAUAAUUGCCCCUUUCGUAGAAGAUGC